rfam:Mortierella elongata AG-77 unplaced genomic scaffold K457scaffold_417, whole genome shotgun sequence.
GAUGCUAGGUCCAUCGGUGUCGGCGUACAGACGCAGGCAUCAAACCACCCACAGCUGCUGCGUUUAAGAGACGUGGUGGUGUGCGAGUUGGGAAAAGGUCGAGCGAGACUUGAUCAGGU